rnacentral:rRNA from 1 species
UACGAAGGGGGGCUAGCGUUGCUCGGAAUCACUGGGCGUAAAGCGCACGUAGGCGGCUUUCUAAGUCAGGGGUGAAAUCCUGGAGCUCAACUCCAGAACUGCCUUUGAUACUGAGAAUCUUGAGUAUGGGAGAGGUGAGUGGAACUGCGAGUGUAGAGGUGAAAUUCGUAGAUAUUCGCAAGAACACCAGUGGCGAAGGCGGCUCACUGGCCCAUAACUGACGCUGAGGCACGAAAGCGUGGGGAGCAAACAGG